UAUACAGGAUGAGGUGAACUUGAAACUGUGGUAUUUUCACACAUUGCUUUCCCAGAUAUAAGCAACUCUCUUGGUGCAAGAUGUUAUUCUGCCUACUGUGAUUACUCACUCACUGCACCCACUGAAACAUGCCUGAGUCUUCUGUGCCAGCAACUCCUUUGGAUGGCUACCAGGAAUAUGUUGGUUCUUAGAAACAGCUUUGGGUUUCCUAGCUUUUAUUAUAACAGGCUGGAGACUGCCCAGCGCUGAAAGCUCUGGAUACCCUCUCCCCAAGCACUGCCUUCUCCUCCUGUCCGAGGGAGCUGGGCUGGGUGUGCAGACCUGGCACCACUCUGAUCCUAGCUGGAGGAGAGCUGGACUGACUCAUUCACUGCCUGUUCCUGCAAAGCAGAACCUCCUCGUGCCCAGGGCCCUGCAAAUGACUGAGCCAUUGAGGAGGAAACAUGCUUCACAGAAGGUGAAAGAACAAAGAAUGACUGUGUGGUGGAAGGUGCAACCUAAAGUGUUCAAGUCUGUCCUUUACUUCAUUUCAAGUGAAGAUUAGAACAUCAGUCUUCAACAUCCAGAGAGAAGAGCUAAAAUUUAGACUGAAAUAAUGCCUAAUAUUUUUUUUUUCUGCCAUACAAGAGAUGGAUGGAGACAUAAACAAGAAGAACUAGUAGCCAAGUAAAGUGGAACAGUUGCUGGAAUGUUGCACAAAAACCAUAAUGUAGAGUGGUAUGUAGGUCUGCCACAGUCCUGGGAAGUGCCCUCAUUAAAAUCUUUUUUAUGUUAUGCUGCAGAACUUGCUUUUCAUAUGAAACACUUGGAGAAUCUGGCUUAUGACCCAAGACAAAAUGAGAAAAAAAUAUGAAAUAUCCCAAAAUGUUGUAAUGUAGGAGAAUCACGUCCUGCACACCUUUACACUAGGAGAAUUGAAGGAUUUGUGACACUUGUGAAUCUAUGCUCCAGAAUGGACAUCUGCACACUGGAAAACACUAAUCCUUUUUAAAAUUUGACUUUUGCCUUGAAGCCUGUCCAGAAGCACAGAAACAGAGUUGUCCAAAGGUCACUCAAAAUUGUAUCAACAAGUGACAAAGUCUCUGGCAGUAAAAUGUUGAUUUUAUGGAAGGUGAUUGCAGACAUCAAUGCCUCAGUUUCUUAGUGUGUUGUACAUAAAAAGAGCAAAAUUCAUUUGCAUAGUCAAGUUUAUGUACCUGGAAAUGUGUAUGAGUUGGAAAUAUAUCUACUGAUGUGAUACCAACAUGAAGCUUUCAAGGGCUGAUUUUCAGUACACAUACAGUUAAACUUAUAUUUGAGGUUUAAGGAAGUCAAUAAAGUUUAAGUUAAUAAGACGUUGGUAAUAGGACUAUGCUAAGUGAAGUUGCAGGAAACAUUGGAAUGCUUUUAAUAAAUUGUAUCAUUUUAGAUUUAGACCUCAAUGAAAUGUCUCACUGAAUUUCACAGAAAUUGUGUAAAAAUAGCAGAAGCAAAAUAAGUUCUUAGAAAUGUAAAAUAAAGAGAGAAAUAAAGAAUUUAAACCACCUGAAACAGGUUGCCGAACUGACUAAAUCACCAUUCUUGGGUGAUGUCACCAAAGUAGAUGAACACAGAUCUAAAUAAUUAACUUCAUAUCAAUAAUAGAUUUUGCACUAGAAAUUGUGAUUUUUUUUUUUUUUUGCACAAAUUGAAAUAAAAUAUAAUUACAAAUUGUGAUAAGGAAAAUAGGAAAAGAGAAAAGACAAUUCUCAUAUAUUAUUUUCUUCUGAAUACAGUGUAUACCAUUCACAUAUAAUAAAUAUAGUAGGUACUGCCUGUUGGAGUCUGCACAGUAUUUUUUAUUAUAUAAGUUCUGAUUUUCCUUGCUUUAUUUUUUCACCUAGGUAAGCAAACUGAUAGGAAACAAGUGUUCCUUUAGGAAGAAUUGACUUUUUCAUUGAGAAAUCAUUGAGUGCUAAAUACACUUUGAUGACCUGAAAAAUGUUUCUAAGGACAACAGAAGGGAGAAAUCUUUUGAAGUUUAAAGACAAUAUCUUUUUUUUUUUUCACUGCAUUCAAACAAGGAGCGGGGAGAGAGAUGACUGAGAAGACAGAAAUAUGUUUUCAGUUUAUGGAAUUCAGUGGUGUGUGAAAUUCAUAAAGGAAUUUUGUUUUUAUUUUCUUUGUUCCCUCCAAGUUUUCCUUAUUGUUUAAUCAAUGUUUCUACUGGGGCAAAUACAUCAAAGGAAUGAUUUUGUCUCAUGGUUGGGACUCAUAAAGACGUGGUUAAAGACAGAAAUGGUAAAUUGUCUUGAAUCAAACUUAGAAACAGUCAAGAAAAUAGCAAAUAUUUUCUGGAAAUAAUUAAAUGAAACUCAAUACCUAUGUUUGUCAGUUCCUUACUACUGUUUAAUUUUUAUCUUUUCUAUAAGAAUAAGGGAAUUGGUAUUGAAUUUUGGUUUUGGUUAAACCUCAGAAUAUUUGGAAAUUUUUCUGAACUUACUGAAAUUAUUCCCUUUCUAGCUUCUUAGGUAUUUACCAUUAUAGCUUGUUCAUCCCUGAAAUGCUUUAGAUUUUUGUCUUUCAGUUUUCUCUUUUUUAACUGGGAGGCUACUUUCUUAAUCUACUUUCCUU